GUGCUCAUUUCAGCAGCACACAUACUAAAGUUGGAAGAAAACAGAGAGGACUAGCAUGGCCCCUGUGCCAGGAUGAUACCCAAAUUCUUGCAUCGCUU
rnacentral:snRNA from 1 species